rnacentral:misc_RNA from 1 species
CCGAGUUAUCAAAACUCCCAAACCCUGUGAACAUACCUAUAACGUUGCUUCGGCGGGAACAGACGGCCCCGUAGAACGGGCCGCCCCCGCCAGAGGACCCCCAAACCCUGUUUUUAUAAUGUUUUUCUGAGUACCAAACAAGCAAAUAAAUUA